GUAGGUGGCAAGCGUUGUCCGGAAUUAUUGGGCGUAAAGCGCGCGCAGGCGGUUUUUAAGGUCUGAUGUGAAAGCCCACGGCUCAACCGUGGAGGGUCAUUGGAAACUGGAGAACUUGAGUACAGAAGAGGAAAGCGGAAUUCCACGUGUAGCGGUGAAAUGCGUAGAGAUGUGGAGGAACACCAGUGGCGAAGGCGGCUUUCUGGUCUGUAACUGACGCUGAGGCGCGAAAGCGUGGGGAGCAAACAGGAUUAGAUACCCUGGUAGUCCACGCCGUAAACGAUGAGUGCUAAGUGUUAGGGGGUUUCCGCCCCUUAGUGCUGCAGCUAACGCAUUAAGCACUCCGCCUGGGGAGUACGGCCGCAAAGGCUG
rnacentral:rRNA from 1 species